CUCACACGUUUAGGUUUUGCUUCUCAUCUGUUCCCGGCCUUGCCCCAGCCGCUGCACGCGUGCCCGCACCCGUACACCCUCACACCCUCAUCAGACAAAAAUGUGUGUUUAGCUUUCAGCAAGCGGGCCAGGGCCAUCUCGCCUGUCCAUGCCUCAUGGAGGCUACAACAGUGGGGACCCCAGUACGAAGACCUGUCAAAUUCCCGGAAACUCCCAGCUUUUGGCCGUGGCCCAGAGAGCCGCCAAGUCCAGAGGCACCCCACCCUUGGGUGACCGGAGGCCCCUUCUCCAUCUGCCACGACAGGAAAUGAAGCAGCUGCUGCCUGGAGCACAGAGCUGCCCUCAAGUAAUGCCCUGUAGUCUAGGCCCCGGGGUUUGCGUCCAGGUUAAACAGACUUUUAUCAUCCCCCAACCCCAGUGGAGAGAGCCCCUCUCCUUUGCAGGGAAGGUCUCAUUCCCGUGUAGCCACUGGACUUUGGGACAUGGGGUAGGUCCCAGGGAGCAAGUGGGGACAAGGAGAGAGAGGAGGUGAGACUGUAUUAAUUUCUUUGUCCCCUGUCUGCUGGGCUAGUGUCCUGUGCUGCAGAGAGAAAUCGACAACCUCAAAGAUCAGCUUGGUAUGACGCACCUCUGCCCGGGGCGCAGGGGGAGGCCAGGGCGUCUUAGUGCGGAGGCUGGGGUGGGGGUGCAGGGGACUCCCCGGGGACAAACAUUCCUGUGGGAGGAGACUGUCAGGGCUGGCCCCCGGGCCUUCGGUUCGCUUACAUUGCUCUCUUCCAUCGCCUGUCACCUGUCAGUCAUCCAUCUACCUACCAUCCGUCCAUCAUCCAUCUGUCAUUUCUGUCUUUCCAUUAAGAAAUGCAUUACUUGAACCACACGUGCAGUUUGCCAACAAGUCCUAGAGAUCUAAUUUUAGUUCAUUUGGAGACGCCGCAUUUAUUUUCUCCUUUAACUGCUGCUUGGCAGAGAGUGUACAUGUCUUCAGAGGAUCUGAAUGGUCCUGAUACACAGCAGACUCUGGGAACCACUCAUACAUUGCGUUCUCAUUUAGAAAACCUCUUCACUUGGGGAUGGAUGGGUCCGUCCCAGGCCGCAAAUCGCCAGG
ensembl:lncRNA